rnacentral:rRNA from 1 species
GACAGAGGUGCCGAGCGUUAGGCGGAAUCACUGGGCUUAAAGCGUGUGUAGGCGGACCGUUAAGUGUCUUGUGAAAUCCCCCGGCUCAACCGGGGAAUUGCUGGGCAUACUGGCGGUCUUGAGCAGUCUAGGGGCAGAUGGAACAAGUGGUGGAGCGGUGAAAUGCGUAGAUACCCGGAGGAACACCAGUGGCGAAGGCGGCUUCCUGGUCUGCGACUGACGCUGUGGCGCGAAAGCUAGGGGAGCAAACGGG